GACGAAGACGAUAUAAUUGAGUUGGAAUUUGCUGAGACGGUUCCUGAACAAGUAGAGGGGUAAGGGUUAAAUUGUGUACAUUUUUUUAAUUAUUACAUAUAGGUUGAUUUUAUUUUUGAUUUUUGUUAUAUGUUGCUUGUUGUUACAGUGAUUGUGGGAUGUUCACAAUUUGUUUUGCUGAGCAUGUCAUUUAUCAAAAGUUUGAUCAGAUUCCUAUUCCUUUCCCCAUUGCGAAGUAUCGAAAAAAGUUAUGCACAAACUUAUUUAUGCAUGCUAGGAACAAGCAGUUGGAGGGCUAUGAUACUGAUAGAGA
rnacentral:lncRNA from 1 species